ACCACUAUGUCAAAGGAGGAUGUUGAAAAAACGGAAGGCCGUGCAGGCACUCUCAUUCUAGAAUGAAUUUACCUACAGAGGUAUACAUAGAUUUCUGGAUGGUGCUAGAUGGAUGGAGCACUGCUCUGCCACAGGCCAGUCAUGUCUGAUCGCCCAUCCUCACCAGCUUCAGUCCGGGCCAGGUUCUUGGCCUUGAGUGGGGUUUCAUCUGAUUCAUGCCUGGAUUAUAGUCACUCACGCACGACACCUAGACCAGUCAGAUGUUCAGAUUUUCACCCAGUAGCAACCAACUGACAAGAACUGACCAAAACCAAGCUUAUGACAUUUUCUUCAUCCUUUCUCACCCUAACUUUUAGGUUUACAGACAUUUCUUUCUAUAGUUAGAAUUCCAGAGAUCUAUAUGAUUAUAAAUUGAGGUCAAGAUUCCAUUUAGUAGGUAACAAAACAAACUCAGUUUGUGGAAAUUAAACACAGUCAACAUGUGUAGGUCUGAUUUCAAAGGUAUUCUAUUAUUAUCUAUCAUAGGCAUUGUGGAAAUUAAUUUUGAAAAUACACAAAUUUCUAACAUAAGAUUCUUCCUUGAUAGGGGUCCUCUUAAAUAAAAUAUCAUAAUUUUGACA
rnacentral:lncRNA from 12 species